rnacentral:lncRNA from 1 species
CUCAAGAAAUAGGAUGUGGCUGUGAUUCAGGAAGUCUAGGGAGGAUUCUGAGUAUCCUCAUCUUUCAUAAAGCUCCAGUGGCAUUCCUGACAUGCUUUUCCAGCUGAGAACUGCUGCCCGAAGUCAUUCUCUCUACAGCUUUGCUCCAUUCCUCACUUGUUACCAAAUGGACAUUCCCCACUAUGAAGGAGAGGACAUUUCAGCUAUGAGACCUGGGAACCUUCGAAAGCAAAAAAACAACUAACCAACCAACCAACCAACCAAAGAAGAGGAGAUUAGGACACAGAAGCACAGAGGAAAGACAGAAGGAGAAGGUGGGCCUCUGCAAGCCAAGGAGAGAAGCCUCAGAAUGAAACCAAAACUGCUCACACCUUGAUCUUAGACUUUGAGAUUCCAGAACUAAGGGGAAAUAAAUUUCUGCUGUUUAAGCCACCCAGUCUGUGGUAUUUUAUUAUGGUAACCCUAGGAAACUAAUACAAUAUUUCGGAUGAUUAUUGCAUCACAAUCUUCUAUUGGUAAAAAUUUGCCUCCCAAAAUAAAGAACACUUACUCUCACACAGAAGUUCCAAACUCCCUUCCAAACAGGUAGAAGUUAAGUCUCUGUCUAAAACUCUACUGUCUAAUACGUUAGCCAAUUGUGACUCCUGAGAACUUGCUUUGUGGCCAAUGUGGCUAAGAAGCUAAAUUUUUAAUUUUAAGUAAUUUUAAGGCCAGCUUUCCAUCAAGCAUAACCAUUUACAGAGAUGCCAAAUCUACCCACAGUGGAAACAAACAGUUGCAUUAUUUGCAUUACAGUGUUUUUCAUUACCUUCUUUCCACUCCAGAAUUAUAUUUUGUUUGACUUUGAACAACCAAAGGGCCACUGAGAUAUGUUCACAAUGUCAAAAAGCAAGCCCUCUGCUCCCCAAAUAUGAAUUUAAACUUUUACCUUUGACAAAUCAAAACUUCCUGACAUUUUAAAAUAUCCUUCUUCAUACUUUCAGCCACUGAAUUUUUUUUUUUCUUUUUCUUU